AGUGAACGCUGGCGGUAGGCCUAACACAUGCAAGUCGAACGGCAGCACAGUAAGAGCUUGCUCUUACGGGUGGCGAGUGGCGGACGGGUGAGGAAUACAUCGGAAUCUACUUUUUCGUGGGGGAUAACGUAGGGAAACUUACGCUAAUACCGCAUACGACCUACGGGUGAAAGCAGGGGAUCUUCGGACCUUGCGCGAUUGAAUGAGCCGAUGUCGGAUUAGCUAGUUGGCGGGAUAAAGGCCCACCAAGGCGACGAUCCGUAGCUGGUCUGAGAGGAUGAUCAGCCACACUGGAACUGAGACACGGUCCAGACUCCUACGGGAGGCAGCAGUGGGGAAUAUUGGACAAUGGGCGCAAGCCUGAUCCAGCCAUACCGCGUGGGUGAAGAAGGCCUUCGGGUUGUAAAGCCCUUUUGUUGGGAAAGAAAAGCAGCAGGUUAAUACCCCGCUGUUCUGACGGUACCCAAAGAAUAAGCACCGGCUAACUUCGU
rnacentral:rRNA from 1 species